rnacentral:lncRNA from 1 species
GCUGGAUGUUAGUUCAGAGCAUGAGCAGCCCUGCAAGGUGGAACCAUGUAGCUUGCACUGUCACUGGGUCAUCAAAAGGUCAUGCACCCUUCAUCAAGCCAGCCACCUCUGGAGUGAAGAGAACAACCUAGGAGCAGAGAUUCCUGAACACAGGCGGUGGUCACUUCACUUCUUUGGCCAUGAAGGGAGUCCCCAGAGCAGAAGCAGAGCUGUGUGGACACCAUGACAAGGCAUCCGUGAGUAUAUGGGUGAAGUCUAUCUCUCCUGGACUCAGGCUAAAGGAUAUGAAUGCACCUCAGUCAUGAUCUCCAUUAUUAUCAGAUAUAGCCACAACAACCUAGUCGCUCCCCUGUCCAGCCCCUGCCCUGUAAUAUCUGCAGUGAAGCUUCUCUUGGCCUGGGAAGAACUUCUUCCAGGUGUCCUGACAGCUAAUUACUGCAGGUCCUCAAGUUUUUCCUCAAUUCUCAACUCCUUCAUGAUGCCCACACUACCAACCCCAGCACACAGCCCUCUUCCCUGCCUCCCACCAUGUGCUUGAUCACAUUCCCUAUAAUACUUGCCACCUCCUGCCAUGAACUCUGAUGUCCUCCAACUCUGCCCACUAGGACACCUGCUCCUCAGAGAGGACAAUUGUCUGAUUUCAUUUUGCUCCUGUUUCUCAGGUGCAGAAACAGUGUAACCUAUCUGACAUGCAGCAAGUGUCAAGUUGGAUGAAUGUUCACUUAGGAGUACCUCCCUCUUCUAGAGACACUAUCAUUAUUAAUGGAGUCUCAGGCCAAAGGCUGCUUGUGGCAGCUACAGCACAAUGUCCUCUCACACAGAAGUCCAGGCUGCCUGGGCUCUUCUUAUAAGAGCUGCUCUUCCUCUCUCCCUCCACCUACACCAGCCCUCCUGCACUCCACAGCACAUCAUUUCAUUUGCCCCUUUAGGAAGAAAAACCUCCCAAGCAAAUUUAAUUUUGGUGGAUUUAAUUUUCCACCAACUAUAAUUUAAAUGAGACUCAUGAGCUUAGACUAGAAUCAGCAGUAGGAUUAUUAGAGCUAAGAGGAGGUGGAGAACACAGAUGACUGAGGAAGAACAGAAACACAACAGGAACUUCUCAAGAUGAGAAAUUAUAGGACACCUUCUCUAUGCCUAUCCCAGAAUCUAGUUCAUUAAAAAAAUUGGAGAAAAGAUGGAAUGAGCAGGAAACAGACCUAGAAAAAGGCAAAAGCUAUAUGAAUCUGAAAAUUAAUCUCUUGAUACCACAGAAAUUCCUGUUCACAGGGGCCAAUGACAGACAGAACAUCUUCUCUUGCUGCUGUAAGAGAUAGGGACACACAGAGAAGGACAGAGCUCAGUCAGAAGGUCAAGAUUGGGCACAAUCCUCUGAAAAAAUAAAUAAAUGAACACAGCAAAUGAGAACCUAAGACUCAGGCCUGCACCUAGGCUGAUCUGGCCACACGAAGCCCCACUUAAGGUCUUGAACAUGGGCAAUGUCUGAAGCCCCAUGAUCACAAGUCCAGGAGUUCAAGGCUGUACUGAGAGACAAAGGAUCAGCAAUGAUGACUAAGCUGAAGAGUCAAAACCACAUCAAAGCCCACAGAGACUGAGCACUGCCUGGCUGCAACCCUGCCCACACGCAGCUCCUCACAGCCUUCUCCUGUGCCCACUGCAGCAGAUUCAGCACAGCAAACACCUGGAUUCUGGGAGGUUCUCAGAUCUCUGUUUGUUUUCUCUCACAAAUCGUGGAAUCUUGUGCCACUUGAAUAUAUAUGCAGUGGAAUAUUACUCAGCCACAAAGAAUAAUGAUUUUAUGACAUUUGUUGGUAAAUGGAUGGAACUGGAGAUUAUCAUGAAGUGAAAUAAGCCAGUCUCAAAAACCAAAUGCCGAAUGUUCUCUCUGAUGUGCAAAUGCUAACACACAACAAGGGGGCUGGGAGGAAAAAAUAUAAGUUCACUGGAUUAAACAAAGGGGAAUGAAG